GGUAAGGCAGUGAGUGAUCGGUCUCCCGCUCCUUGUCCUAACCCUAUAAAAUAUUUUCAAUGACCACGGGCGAUUUCAUUUCCCUCACAUUCAAGAGGCCUAUCCCCGCAGAUAUAUAAAGAAAAGCUAUUAAAAUGAAUCAUGAUUAUCUUAUUCCGUUAGGAAGGAAUGUAAUGAAAGCAGUAAAGGAUAUUUCCAUGUAUUUGGAAAAUGAAAUUGGAAUAUAGGUUGCCAUUUAUAAAUUUUGUUUAUUUCAAGGAAAAACGACAUGUUAGAUUUUUUUUUUUUCCAUGAGGAUCCCUGGGAGGCCUUGAAACAAAGUCUUGUGUAUUUUUUUUCAAGGUGAACUACUUGGAAUUUUUUUUUGUCUAUUUUUAGAUUAAUUAACUUGUGUCCUUAGGAUACAACUUUUUUAAAUCUAGAGGUCAUCGGUCACGCUAAAAAUUUAAACUUGUUAAAAAGCAAAAUGUUGGAACUUUGCAUUGGAAAAAUAAUUUUUUAAACUUUAGACAGCUUUAUCCAUCAUUUUCGAAAGAGAAUAGUUCAAAUUUAAUUUUCUUAACAAAUGCUUUAUGGGAACACUUUAGCAUUUUCUAAAUCUAAUACUUCUUAAGAUUUAUUCUAUGAAUCCAGGACCUUCUAGUGAGAGUGUCUCAGUGGUAAAUACCACUUCUUCCAUAAAGCUAUAUAUAUAUGGAUGUAUCAAAUGAGAGGAGUUGUUAUUGUGAGAGGGUGAGAGGAGCUAUUAUUAGCCUUUGGAUGAAAAUGAAGGGUUGAGAUUACAUUGUAUGGAUUAAGUCUCACGUGAGUUUAUGUUUUCUUCAUAGUCCUGCCAAUUUCUUUUUCCCAGUUCAUGAUGCAUCUUCAUUCUUCUCAAAUUGUUUAAAAAACCCAUUAAUAUUUUGUGAAUACAAAACUGAAAAUUAAGAGAUUCAUAAUUCUUUGAUGAAGAAAAAAAAUUAAAAAUUAAAAGGGUUAUUUGAUACAGUUGAUUUUAAGAAGAAUUCAGAGUUCUUGCUAUUUAAUCUUUUCUGAAGAACAAAUCUCCAUUCGUUUCAGAGACCUUCGAUUGAAGAAUUAUGAGGUUUCUCACCAUGGAUUUUUUAUGAAGAAAAAAAAACUCCCAAAUAUAAGAGGUUUUUGACGGGGAACAAGGAGAUAUAACCAAAGGGUGAUAGGGUUUCAAAUGAGAGGAGAUGUUAAAAUGAGAGGAGAGAGGGUUAAAUGUCACCCAUUAGAUUAAAUGUAAGGUUCAGAUUAGAGGAGUUUUUAAACCACCUCACGUGACACUCUUUCUCUCUCAUUCAAUUGCCUUCUCUCCCAUCAAAGUAUGCCUCUUCCACUCCUUCUCUUCUGGGUAUGAAUCAACGACACAAAUCAAGCAUUCAUACAUCCUUCUUAUAUUUUAUUUAUGACAAGAAAUUGAUUUA
rnacentral:lncRNA from 1 species